rnacentral:rRNA from 1 species
CCUACGGGUGGCAGCAGUAGGGAAUAUUGGUCAAUGGACGCAAGUCUGAACCAGCCAUGCCGCGUGCAGGAUGAAAGCCCUAUGGGUCGUAAACUGCUUUUAUAUGGGAAGAAACCCCCGGAUGCGUUCGGGGCUGACGGUACCAUAUGAAUAAGGAUCGGCUAACUUCGUGCCAGCAGCCGCGGUAAGACGAAGGAUCCAAGCGUUGUCCGGAUUUACUGGGUUUAAAGGGUGCGUAGGCGGAAUUCUAAGUCAGUGGUGAAAGCUCUCGGCUCAACCGAGAAACUGCCAUUGAAACUGGAAUUCUUGAAUGCGGUGGAGGUAGAUGGAAUGUAACAUGUAGCGGUGAAAUGCUUAGAUAUGUUACAGAACACCGAUUGCGAAGGCAGUCUGCUACACCGUGAUUGACGCUGAGGCACGAAAGCGUGGGGAGCAAACAGGAUUAGAUACCCUUGUAGUC